rnacentral:lncRNA from 1 species
AAGGUCUCACAUCAAUAUCAUUAACCAAAAGCAUUUCAUGAUCAAUUGAAGUUCAAGGCAAUUUUAAAGCUCAAAUGUGAUCAACCAGAAUGAUAAAUCUCAAUUAAAUCAGAAAUGAUUCAAUAAAUUCCAAGAAAAUUCAUGCUCAAUCAAGACAUUCAUCAUAUGCAUCACACAAAAAAUCAGGACAAUUGGAGAUCAUUUGAUAAGGAAAUCACAUGGCAUAAGUUUGACAUCAAAAGGUGUGACA